GCGCUGGUAGUCCAACGGCAGGAUAGAAGCCUUCCAAGCUUUUGAUCCGGGUUCGAAUCCCGGCCGGCGCA
rnacentral:tRNA from 1 species